GUCAUCACGGCGUGCUGCACGGGAAGGUACCAGGAGAAGACGCCUCUUCCCAACUCCGUCGCUUUCUUACCUGCGCUCGAGUCAUCGCCACGGUACAACUGGUGGGGGUCCGGAGGGCCCCUGAGGUGACUGGACAAGGACAGAGGGAUGACAGCCGUGGUGGUCUGGGGAGGCAGGAGCUUGAGCCCGAGCGCCGCGUCCAGCCGCCCAUGGGCGCUUCACGCAAUCUGUGCCCAUUCCCACAGACCUUCCAGAGACAGGUUUCCAGUACCCGGGCGUGAAGAGGUUCCCAAACAUCAGGAGUUUCAUAGCUGUGAUGUUUCCUCCUUGUCUGCUUGUUUUUGUCUCAUUCCCAGGACAUUUGUCUGAUGAUAUGGCCAACUGAUUCCACAGUGUGCAGGACGGACUGGACAGGAGUAGCCCCAGAAGGACCAGGUCCCUCUUCAGUCACCUGCCAGCUUUGCACCUUGGGCAAGUUCCCUCUCCGGACUUCCGUUUUCUCAUCUUUAAAUGUAGUGAAAAAUAAUACUAGGGUUUAGAACCGUGACUGGAGCGUCGUAGGCAAUGUUUACUGAAUGAAUGAAUGAACGGGACAGCAGACAAGAAUGUACGCCCUGGCUUCGCAGCGUUGCUCUGCGCAGAGACGUUAAAGAGCUGAAGCUUGUUGUUUAUCAGAUGAACGCCCUUUGAAGAAUUUUGAAAGCCGUAAAGCACUACAGAAAUAGAGGGUGUGACUCUGACUCCCUGCUGGGUGGAUGAGUGUGGGUCCAGAAGCCACAAGAAGCCUGAAACAUUUGAAGGAUGGGGGCCCUAGGCAAGACACGAAAAGACUGGGAUUACAGAGCUGAAUUCCAAAUUUAGGACAGCUGUGUUUGGUUGGUGUCUCCGGGAUACACGCCUGAGCCUGCACUGCAAAGGACUUUGGGAAAUGCAGCAUCUGACAUCUUUAGCAUCUGCAGUGGGGAGAUGCCCCGCCGAGACUCAGGAGGUGAAAUGUUCCCCAAACCCAGAGGAGUUCAGACGCUGCAGAACCAGAGUGCCCGGUACCGUGGCAACAGCCGCCUUUCCUCGCUGGGACAAGCGGCCUGCAGGACGAAGCCUAGGUAGGGAAGGGAGAAAAGCCAAGAUAUGAGAGACAGACAAAACCCAGAUGAUGUUUUUGAAGCCUCUGAAUCUAGAUGUGCCUCAGUCUUCUUUUUUUUUUUUGUUUUAAACGCUGGCCUAUUUCUGUUAGCUGAUAAAUUCCUCUUUUGGCCUAUGUUACAAACUCCCUUUUGAGUUGAGCAUCUGUCACUCGUAAACGAGAGCCUCCUGCCUUAUAUGGUCCUGCUUUCACUGCUAGUGUUGCAAUCAUAUUCUCGCUGCUUUACCGGGACGUUUCCUCUGAGCUCCCUCUGCCAGUGCCUUCUGAAUACACUGAUGUGUUGGCGAGUGGACAGGCCUGGGUGAGGAGGGGGCCCGCCCUGCCUUCAGCCAGUCUCCUAGGUUGGCUGGGACAUGCUCCCUCCAGUACCCUAUGCUCUGUGUCCAGUUACAGGGGCAAGAGGUUCACACAUCUCCGAAACGUGUGGAUUUGUGCAGGGAUCUGUUUGUAAGCACACAACUGCAAGUCGUAUCCUUCCAGGAAUGGGCGUAGCUGGGCCCCAUGGAGCUGGUUUUCUGGCGUAGGGCGCACCCAGAGAUUUAUCCUGUGGAGGGAUGCGUGCCUUGGAGGUGUGCACCCGUCCCCAGGGCCAGUCUCUCGUUGCUGGUCCCCUUUUCAUCCUCGGGCCCCCUUACUUCACCGGGAUGCCCUGGUGACCAGGGGCCUCACGCCAGCUUGGUGGAACAGCGAUGGGGGAUGAGGGAGACCCUUCCUGUUUGCCUGCCGGAGUCUUCGCUUCUCUGAUGGCCCUGGGACUUUGGCCCAGGAGAAGCAAGUGAGAGGUAAAGGAAUUUAGGGGCCAAAAGGAGGGAAGCCUCAUGUCUCCUUGGCCUCCCCCUCCUCCUGAUGGCUGAGACACUGUGGAGGGUGGGGCUCCCUCAUCGGGUCUCCCUGGGAGGCUAGACAGCAGAUUCUGCACGUCUCCAGCAUAUGUGGGGGUUGUGAACCAGCCCCUGAACCCAAACUGUCCUUUCCUGGGGAACCGUGGUAAAUUUCGGGCUGCUGAGAGGUGGUGACCGGGCGGGCAGAAGAGGAAAGGAUGGGGUAAACCUAAGAGGCACGGACCACGCCUCACCUGCUGGACCCCCAGGCACCCGAGCCCUAGUGCACCUGUGAGCCGAUGGGGUGUUUGUCCUCAGGAAACAGCAGGACGGCUGCGAUGCUGUGUCCUGAGGCUGAACCAUAGCCAGACAGCUCUGAAGACAUCCCUCAUUUCAUCCCCACCUCGGUGCACACAUUUAGACUCUAAAUCCUCUUUCUGCAUUCGGAUCUGCAGUGACUCUACUUUGUAAAUAGCAGAGGUUGAAGAAGUGCGUGAUGAUGUGUUUUUUCAUCUUUUCAAACAUGGGGCAUUUUACUUCUGUGGAAACGUCCAGACUCUGGGCUAUAUCACACUUGUUCCCCACAUUUGCCUUUGAACUUGGUGGUUUUUGUUUUUUUUUUUUUACAGCUGAUGUAACUGGUGAGCAGAGGUGGUGGUCAGCAUGGGAUAUGGAUCCUGGAGGAAGAGAAAGCUGGUUUUUAAAAGGACCUUUCAAGUCUUUAGGGCAUUUCCUCUUCCCAUAAAAGCACUGUAUAUUAACCUGAUUAGAAAUAUGUAAAUAAGCUGCCUCCUGCCUCUUAUUUCCAUCCCUGGCUCUGCAGAACUGGCCCUUCCCUGGAAAUGGGAGGAACUGAUGUAAUUGUUCUGUGGAAGAUGAGGACUCCCGGAUCCCGGCCAAAUAGCUUCCUGCCAGGCCCGCUCCUUCCCUCGGUUUAAUUACGAGCGAUUGAUUGUUUGGGCUGUGAUGUGAAGACAUAUUAGAGAAUGGAAAAAAAAAAGAAGAAGAAGACCAGAGUUCAGAAUAUUAUGCUGUCACUGAUUCAUGUUUUGGCAAGAACUCGUAACUAGAUUUUAUGCUUUAGCCUUGGGACGGGAUCUCAGGGAGCAACCUUGCCAUAUAAGCUCAUAAAGGCCGAUUCUCCGGUUUAUUUUGAAAAGGUCCAAGUAGAAGCAUUUGAAAAAUGCAGAAAUCACAUCGGCCAUCGGGGGAAGUUCUGUGUUGGUGAUGUGCGGUGCCCUCCUCCGAGGGACUGAGGUUAUUUUCAACCGGGUGUUUCAGCAUCUGACUGCUUGAUUUUCGUAUAUUUGACGCAUCGUACAUUUUGCAGGAAGGCUCUGAUGAGUUCUCACAGUGUGGGCUUGGGGAGGGGUGUGGAAGCUAAGCCCUGCGAGGAAGGAGCUGGGGGGCAAAGGCUUUUAUUCCAGACCCAGGUCUGAAUCAGGCAACCCUGGAACAGAAGCAUCAAGUGACCUCGCGUGAGAGCAGGGAUGCAGGCGAGAGAGUCUGAGGCCAGACCAUCUUUUUUGAUUAGUAAAUUAAAAGACAAAUACAGAAAAACAUGAAAAGACGUUUCAAAGUGCCUUGUAUACCUCGCUCCAGUGCCCGGAGAGAACAUUUGUGUACCUUACAGUCUUUUCUGCGCAUAUCUUGAAUAAUUACAGUGAUUCAGCUAAACUGUUUUGUAAUAGACUUUUUCAACUAGAAUGUAUCAUAAACGUUUCCCUGGCUAUUAAUUCAAAGAAAACAGCUUUUAAUGAUUGGAGAUGAUUACACUUAUCAGCUAUGCAAGCACUUGGAAUAUUAGGUUUUGUGUACAUAUAUGUGGUGUUGGUUUAAUUUUUUUAAUUUUUUUGGUGGGAGGAGGUAAUUAGGUUUACUUAUUUAUUCUUAAAGAAGGUACUGGGGAUUGAACCCAGAACCUCGUGCAUGCUAAACAUGGGCUCUACCACUUGAGCUAUACCCUCCCCACUGUGGUGGUUUUAUUUUGUGUUUCUUUGAAAAUCACUGAGGUUGAGCAAUUUUUGUUUUUUGUAUAUUUAUGGCCAUUUAUGUAAUUCUUCUUUGGUGAACAAUUGAGUCAUGUCUUUGACAAUAUGUCUGUUGGGGGAGCUUGACUUCAUCCUGGUUGAUUGGAAAGAUCUCCCUCUGUUACACAUACGAGCAUGUAUUUUACAGUUUUUGCCAUUUUAUUUUGUUCAAGGAUUUUAUUCUUAAGGUAGGAAGAUUUACAAUGGUAUGCAAUCACAUACCUCUUUUUUUUUUUUUCUUUACCUCUUCUUCUGCUUUUAUGCCUCAAAAAUCCUCUGGACCCCAAGAGUGUGUACUUUUCACCCACCUUCUUCCAGCUUUUCUUCAGACACUUUACAUUCAAAUCCCUCUCACAUCUGGAAAUCCUUCUGCUGUGUGAUGUGCAGGGUGGUUUUUAAUUGUUCUUGCAUUUGUGAAGUGUUCUUUCCUGCUUUGAAUUGAUUUGUGUUCUUCUGAUACCAUGGCCACAGUGAUUUAAUUCUUAUAACUUACGAAUGUGCCUUCAUCGCUGAGGGUCCUUCCUCCUUUUUAACUAUCGGUUUUGAAACUUGCUUGGCUCUUCAGGCCAGUUUAGUUUCUCUUGAUACAUUUUAUAAUCAUUCUGUCAAAUUUCCUUUGGAAAAUUUUCCUCUUCAGGAACAUAAUGUGUCUCUCCGCUCACUGAAAUAGUCCUCCUAGUCUUCCCUGCUGUUCUGUAGAUUUUCUCACCAGCAUCUUAACACAGGUAGCCUGUGGGCACAAAACCAAAACACAAACAAAAAACUAAUUUCGUGUUUUAAAAAAUCAGCUUGGGGUGGAAAUAAAACACAAUAGCCGACAAUUUGCUAUUCCACAGGCCAGUUAUGCCCUAUUGAGAUAUUCUGAGCAGAAUGACUUCUGAUAGCUCAAUAUAUCAACUCAGGAGUUUUAAAAGCUUUUUCUUUUCUACCAAAUAUGUCAAACAAGCUCAGAUAUUUAAGGCUGUCUAUGAUUUAAUAUGUAUUUACUGGAAAAUUUCAAUAAGCUUUGACCUUACGAUCUUGAAUAUCCAAUCAAAGUGAAGGCAACCGUUCUGUUAAUUGGUUAUCCCUUCUUUACAAAGCCAUCAAUGAUUAAGAUAAUUUUUUAAACUUAAUUGACUGCUUUCAAUUGAAUCAAAGGGCCUAGCUAAUAAGAUGACCAAAGCAAUUGUUUCUUGAUGUUCAGCUAAUAGGAAUAUUCUGAAUUUAUAAUUAGUGCUCAUUUGCAUUGACUUCUAAGCAAUUUGUAGUCAACCUGGUUUGUUUCGAAAGAUGGAAGAAAAUACUGUGUUGUGAUGGUCUUAGCAAGGAACGUACAAGACUUAUCCUAGAGGAAUCACGCUGACAUUUUCCUACCCAAAUAGUCCCGGUUAAGUGAAAUGAAUGGUAAACCAGCACUUACAUGAAGACCGUAGUAGAGGACUGAAAAUUGGAGACCAUUGAGAACAUCUUCCCCAGCACUGCUGAGAACAGGGACAGGAACUGCCCCAGGUGACACUUGCUGACAGGGAAUUAAUGGUAGGAAAUGACCUUAAAACUUCAUGUUCCCAAGGACUAUAAACAAACUUUCCCUGGCAGCUGAAGGCAGAUCCUUCUGAAACAAAGGGAGGUGUGAAUGAACUUUCAUGGGAGUGGGAAGUGUGGAGUGAGGACCCGGUUCCAAGUAUGACCACCCGGAAUUUUAAUCAGGAAACAAAGCGGUCACUGCCCUGCGUGUCCACUUCUGCAUCUUAACCGAGAGCCCUUUCAAAUCAAACCACAGAAACAUCAGACCAUUCAGUGUUUAGUUUUUCCCACUGAAAUGAGUCUAGUAAUAUCAAUGUGUCUUUCAUCAUCCAUCUAAAAAUCACUAUUAAAAAUGUCAUUUUAUCGCUUUUUGAUUAAUCUGUGUACCUGCAGGAUAUACCUUUAAAGUCGGUAGAAGCAGAGACAUUUUAUUUGUGUCUAGUCCAGGAAUCGUUAAGUUAUAGAUCAAGAAAUGAGGAAUAACUGUAAAGGGUGAGGUUGUUCUAGAAUAACUUACUUAUCUUCACUUUUAGAGUUACCUCUUUUCUCAAAUACAAAAAUAUAAAUGCUCUGCAAAUACCAGCCCCGCCCCCACCUUGCUGAGUCCAAGCAGAGAUUGCUGAGCAGAUCCUGAUCAGAGUGUUGAGAUGAGCACAGACUGAAAAUGCUCGGUCUCCUUGAGCCGUCUUUCAACUAAAGCAAUUGGACUCGAAUGUUCAUGGUGAUUUAUAAUGCACCUUUAAGAAUAAUUUCACUCCCCAGUAGUAGAGACCAGGAUGAAUGGGCUUACACAGUGAGGACGUUUAUUAUCUCCUACAACAGGAAGUUCAGAGGAAGACGUUCCAGAGAAGGCGAGUUCACUGGCUUCCGCCUCCGGAAUCUUCCUCUCCGCUCUGGUCUCGGUGGGCAGGGAGGGGUUGGCCAUCUCCCAUCACUGUCUCAAAGCGUCAUUUCCAGACACAAAAUUGUCCUGUGGAAGAAUGUGACUGUUUUCUCUUAUUUCUGCUUUUUGAGAGGGAGGAGAUUUUUUUCCAGGAGUCCCCAGAAGACUUGCCCUCAUGUCUCACGGCCAGAUCCGGGCCAUGUGAGCACUCCUAAACCAGUCACCAACAAGGGAAAUAAGAUGAUCACUGUGGGUCCAGACUAACCAGGGUUUACACUCUGAGUCACAUGGGCGAUGAACCAGCAAAUGAAAUUGGGGUCAUUGCAGCAAGAAGGAAGGAGGUGGCUUUUGACUGAAGAAUCAGCAUUGGAGAGCAGUUUUUCAUGUAUCACACAGUUGGAAUAAGCAAAGAAUAGUGGCAUUUUAAAUCAGUUCUCAAUAUUUUGAUGUUGACUUAAGUAAAAAGGGCAAGCUACUGAACUACGUGUUUCUGAUAUGCCAUUAAAUUUUGUAUUUAUUUGUAAGAUCACAGAGAUCUUACAUAUUCUUGAAGUUUUAAGCUUUUCUAUUCUUUUUUUUGAAUUCAGUUUUUCAUUUUAUUACUUCUUCUUGUUCAUGGUUUUUUUGGAGGGAGGGGAGGUAAUUAGAUUUAUUUAUUUGUGUAUUUAUUCAUUUAUUUAAUGGAGGUACUGGGGAUUGAACCCAGGACCUCGUGCAUGCUAAGCAUGCACUCUACCACUGAGAUACACCCUGCCCCCUAAGCUUCUAAUCUAGGUGUGUCUUUGAGAAGAUUUAAUUUUUUUGUUAAGUAAAUUAAAGUAGAGUGUAUACAGGUGCAUUUUUAGUAAUACAAAGAACACCCCAAACCUUGGAAGUGCUAUUAGUCUACUGUGGUUGACCAGUUCUCCUGCCAAACACAAAUUGGCCCAGUGGGAAGGGAACCCCUUACCAGCCAUUGCUCCAUCAGUUGCUAAACUCACUGUGCUCUUUUUCUUGCCGUGAAACAAUUUUCGACUCGUGGUGCUGUGGAAACACUCAUCUGGAAGAAACCUGCACUUGUCUGCUUGAGAGGUGCUGGCCUAGGGUUCAGACCAACUCCCAUCAGCCUAAUUGCUCCUGCCACAUGGCCUCAGGAGUGAAGAAUUCUCCCUUUGUUUGCAACCCGACGGAGGGGCAGGGCUCCCCAAGAUGUAUUGCCUGCAAAAGAGGAGAGAAAUACAACUGGACGUGACGCCCUCCUCCUGGUUCAGUUGCGUUUUUGGCACUGCUCGGUUAUACGUUUGGAUGUUGCUGCACUUUACAAAACAUAUUUCUUUUCAAAGGAGAGCAGUCCGCGCUCACUCCUGAUACUCGGCCUCUGAGAAUCGACGUGAUCUCAACCAGACACUCGUCAGAGUUUCCUGUUGUAAGACUUGGCCUUCGAAGCUAAAAGCCUGCCCUGCCCGGGCCCCGUGGGCCUCCCGAUCUGCAGAGAGAAGUGUCACGGGAGGAACGAGCCUGCACAGGCUCAGCCUUGGAAGACGGGGCUGCACUCGUGGUUUGUCUGUUGAGUCGGAUCGUCUCACCUUUUAGCCCUUUGGCAUCUACUUGUUCCCUCCCAUUGCAGCUUUCAUAUCUUUCAUCCUUUAAAAAAAUCCCUUUUCUUCUAUCAAACUGUGAUUUCAGAAGAAGGAUCCAAUAAACUCAACAAUACACAAGAGUAAAUGCUACAAGGCUAGAGUCAUGUUUGCAUUCAUCCUUCUGAGGAAUUUUCAAGCGAGACAAAUCCCUAAGUCAAGGGAUACAUUUCUCAUUGUGACAUUUUAGACUUCCAUGAAAGCCAGUAAGAAAGGUUUUAUUUCUUCUUCCCAUUUUCUUUUCUUUCUUUCUUCUUUUUUUGCUUUUUCAGAGGUUGGAAUUUUUCCUGGAGACCUUGAAACCGUCCCAUAUACUGAGGUGUCUUCCUACCCCGAGAUGGGGGGCUAUGGCAAAAUGAAAACAGACUGGGAAAGAAAUGAUUGUUACAGAUGAUGUAAAGGUUCAGAGUCAAAUCCUCAGAUGAAUGGAACUACUCAGUGGCAACCCAGCUCCCCUCUCCCGCCUGUGUGGUUUGACCAAUGAGGACUGGGAGAGCUUUUCACUGCCAUGUUAGGACUCAUGGGCGUAUGACCCUGGGUGGUCUUCUGGCUUAUUAGUGAACUCAACUAUCAGGAAUACAUUUUAGAUUAGGAAUAUCUUAGAAAAUCCUAAACACCAUAUUUAUAUAUAUUUAUGUCCUCCCUACAGACAUAGCAGAGGGGAGACAGCUUAUGUUAAAACAUCUCAAGCAGGGAGUGAUGAAAAGG